rnacentral:lncRNA from 1 species
UCUUUCCAGCAAAAAAACACAAUUUCUAUCAUACAGCCUUUGCACCAAUAAACUAAGGUGUUCUUCCAUAGGGGACAGCUUGCCUUCUCAUUAUAUUCUGUAAAAGUUUUCCUUCAACAACCUCUGACCCUAAAAGCCCUUAUUCCUGAAUGGCCACUUAGACACCACAAAGCAUCAUGAUGAUCUACUGAUGUUGGAGGAAAGUAAAAAUAUUUUAAAAGGUUAUUUUAAUUUUAAAAGAUACUGUUUUUAAAUAAAACAAAUCUUAGCUCUGAUCUCAAAAAGAACCAUGAUUAGUUCUGAGACAAUUUCAAAAAUUCGUUCUUAGGGAUCUCUUUGAAACAUUUAUUGGACUAGGCAAUUAAUCUAGUUAAGAAAGAGCUACAGAUAUUUUAAGGAGAAAAACAAGUCUUCUAUCAUGAACACAAUAACAUGAUUUGCUUCCUACAAAACAUGCAGUAACACCAAAUAUAAAAGAACCAACCUGAAAUGUCAAAAAUUAUGUGGAAAAUAGGAAGGGAAGGAGUAAAUGUGGAAGGGAGAGAGGGCAGCCAUUAUAAAUUACUUCAGUUCUUUGGAGGUGGAAAGAACCAAGAUUUCCUAAUUUCUCUUUUAAAGAACCAAAAUAAUUAAAAACUUAAAAAGAAAAAAAGAAUGGAAUGUAUCCUUGCUUCCCUUUAUGUUUUUAAAUCAUUCUUUAACUGACAUUUUACUUCAGCGUAUGGUCAUACUCACACAAUCUUUCAUUCCAUUAACAACAACUAAAUCUUUACUUUCCAAAAGAUGAUUUAGGCUAGGCUUUAAAAAAAUUAUUUAUUUAUUUAUUUGAGGAAGAGAGGGGAAGGGGGAGAGAAGGAGUAGCAGAUUCCCCACUGAGCAGGGAACCUAACACAGCUUGAUCCUGGGAUAAUGACCUGAGCUGAAGGGAGAUGCUUAACCAACUGAGCCACCCAGGUACCCUUAGACUAGGCUCUUUGAGGUUCCUUCACCACCACACACAAAGAAGAUAAUAAAACAGCUUGAGAAAUUAUGCUUCACACUUCCUUUCCUCUUCCUUUGUCAUUUAUUGUACAACACUUCCAGUUUACAAACUCUACGGAGAGCUGUGGCCUUCUUAGUUUUCACUGACAUAAAGCACCCAAAAAAAAAAAAAAAAAAAGCUCAGGGAAAGUAAAACUGACAUCUUACCAAAUUAGCAGCAAAACAUGUGAACAGGAGACUUCCUCCAAAAUUCAGUAUUUCCCUCAACUUAGACAUAGAUCCUUCUUCUACAAGGAGAAGUAGCCUAGCUUUCUUAGGAUGCUCCUAAGUGGCCAUAAUCAUCUCACAACCAGGUUAAUACAGGAGCCCUGUGGUAGAGGUUUUCAUAAAACUGAAGCAAGGGGUAAUGCUACUAUGGGUAAGAAGACAUAAGACUGUGAAGGGAAUAGGUACCCCCUCUCUCACUCCUUUCUCCCAGGUCAAAACAAAACAAAAAACAGGAGUGGCCAGUAGUAAAAGUCUAAAGAGAAAACAGAAAUGAAAAGUUGACUUCCUUGGGUUAUAGAUUUAUAAUACCAAACACAUAUGUAUUUGGUGACUGCAAAAUAGCUCCUCAAACCUAGAGCAAAUCAGAAAACAAUACAAAUUUAAGGUUAGAAUAUAAAGAGAAUG